UGUUGACCUCAGAUCAGGUAGGAAUAUCCGCUGAACUUAAGCAUAUCAAUAAGCGGAGGA
rnacentral:rRNA from 1 species